GCAUAUCAAUAAGCGGAGGAAAAGAAACUAACAAGGAUUCCCCUAGUAACUGCGAGUGAAGCGGGAAAAGCUCAAAUUUAAAAUCUGGCGGUCUCUGGCCGUCCGAGUUGUAGUCUGGAGAAGCGUUUUCCGCGUUGGACCGUGUACAAGUUUCCUGGAACGGAGCGUCAUAGAGGGUGAGAAUCCCGUCUUUGACACGGAUCCCAAUGCUUUGUGAUGCGCUCUCAAAGAGUCGAGUUGUUUGGGAAUGCAGCUCAAAAUGGGUGGUGAAUUCCAUCUAAAGCUAAAUAUUGGCGAGAGACCGAUAGCGAACAAGUACCGUGAGGGAAAGAUGAAAAGCACUUUGGAAAGAGAGUUAAACAGUACGUGAAAUUGUUGAAAGGGAAACGCUUGAAGUCAGUCGCGUUGGCCGGAACUCAGCCUUGCAUCAGCUUGGUGUACUUUCCGGUCGACGGGCCAGCAUCAGUUUUGACCGCGGGAUAAAGGUGAAGGGAAUGUGGCUCUUUCGGGAGUGUUAUAGCCCUUUGUCGGAUGCCGUGGUUGGGACUGAGGAACUCAGCACGCCUUUAUGGCCGGGGUUCGCCCACGUACGUGCUUAGGAUGCUGGCGUAAUGGCUUUAAACGACCCGUCUUGAAACACGGACCAAGGAGUCUAACAUGCCUGCGAGUGUUCGGGUGGAAAACCCGUGCGCGUAAUGAAAGUAAAAGUUGGGAUCCCUGUCGYGGGGUGCACCGACGCCCGGACCAGACCUUUYGUGACGGAUCUGCGGUAGAGCAUGUAUGUUGGGACCCSAAAGAUGGUGAACUAUGCCUGAAUAGGGUGAAGCCAGAGGAAACUCUGGUGGAGGCUCGUAGCGAYUCYGACSUGCAAAYCGMUCGUCAACAYUUGGSUMUAGGGGCGAAAGACUAAUCGAACCAUCUAGUAGCUGGUUCCUGCGA
rnacentral:rRNA from 1 species